rnacentral:rRNA from 1 species
GAUGAACGCUGGCGGCGUGCCUAAUACAUGCAAGUCGAACGCUGGAACUCUAGCUUGCUAGAUUGAAGGAGUGGCGAACGGGUGAGUAAUCCAUAAGCAACCUACCCACGAAGACUGGGAUAAUCUCUGGAAACGGGGACUAAUACCGGAUAGGUAAUCGGAAGGCAUCUUCUGAUUAUUAAAGGUUAAAAACACUGGUGGAUGGGCUUAUGGCGCAUUAGUUAGUUGGUGAGGUAACGGCCCACCAAGACGAUGAUGCGUAGCCGGCCUGAGAGGGUGAACGGCCACAUUGGGACUGAGACACGGCCCAGACUCCUACGGGAGGCAGCAGUAGGGAAUUUUCGGCAAUGGGGGAAACCCUGACCGAGCAACGCCGCGUGAGUGAUGACGGCCUUCGGGUUGUAAAGCUCUGUUGUAAGGGAAGAACGGUAGAUAGAGAAUAUCUAAAUGACGGUACCUUACCAGAAAGCCACGGCUAACUACGUG